GUUCGCCCCCCACCCCUCACCUUCCCUCACCCCACCUCUUCUCUCCCCAUUAAGUAAUUUGCUGAGUCCUGUCCUUCAGAGAACAAGUCGCUUAGUUGUACAGUAUUUGAAUAUAAUGUUAAAAUACAAAGAAGCCAGUUUGCCCCUCCCCCGGUCUCCCCUCUCUGGCUUCUGCUCUGAGUUGAGGGUUUAGUUGGAAAGUGCUGAGUUUCUUACAUCCCCUACUCUGAGGCUACAAGGCACGUUUUUUGGCUUUCUUUCCUGCCAGGACAUUGCCAAGAAAUUCACCACUGUUUUGUUUUUUUUUUCUUUUUUUUUUUGCUUGUAUUAAAACGUGUGAAAGAAUUAGUUUGAAAAGUCCUUGCUACAUCUAGUUUCUCCCUCUCCUUUUCUUUUCUCGCUCUCUCUUCUUCUCUCUCCGCCCCCCCUUCUUCCCUCCCUCCUUCCUUCCUCCCUCUCCCCCUCCCUCCCUUCGCAGAGCCGCAGGAAAAGAAGAAUGUCGGCUUCGACUGCCAUCUUUUGGGGAUUUGGAAAAACGACUCGGCACAUGAUGUUGACAAGAGAAUCUCCAUGGCAUCAAGUUGUAUGUUUCUGUGAAUAAUACGUUGAUAUCAGAUUCUACCAGAAAUGUUUCAGAAGACAAAAAACAGCUCUGACUUUGCUUUGCGAAUGUAUCGGUAACUGUUGACUUAGAACAAUCUUUCCUGAAUUGUAAAUUCUGCUUUAGAAACAGCCGCAGCUGAGGUACCAAACCUGCUACGAGCAGGGGAAUGUUCGUGGCCAGAACUAGGUCAGAUGACGACCUCUACUGAGGAACUCAGCAGUAUUUGUCUAAGCCUUCCCGCAGACAGAUACCGAGAAGCUGGUUAACAUUCCAAAGGCACAGUUGGCGAUGAAGACUUGACUUAGAAUGAUGAUGUUUGCAGAUUGCAUUCUUACCCAAAUACUCUUCGUGAUUGCCUGCUUUGCGGCUUUGGGAUUCUUCAGGGAGUGGAGAACAUUCACAUGGAUUGACAUCCCAAUUUUCUCAUCCUGUUGAAGCCGGCUUUUUCAUUUACCGACAACUAACUCAAAAAUCUUAAAUUUGAUAUUUUGAGGUUUGCAUUUCCAAAUAUCCAGAAACUCUUCCUUUUCUUAUGGCCCCUCCCCAGCAUGUUCUGAAGUGGUCUAUUUCAAACAAAAGAAGAUGACAUCCCUCUCUCAACUAGCAAAUGUUGGAUUCUCUAAAUCGACUGGGGGCAAACUGGAAGUUUUGCAAUUAGAUUCACACAAACUGAAUUACGUUCCUUAUUCCCAAACAUUCUUCUUCGAACUUCACAAAUAUAACAACACUGAGUUUUUAGAGUUUCCUGUGGCUUGUUUACAAAUAAAGGUAUCUCGAUAAA